rnacentral:sRNA from 1 species
UCGACUAACUGAGAGUUCUUUUGAGCAGGGGAGACUUUCCACAUCUUACAAGUCAAAACAGUUGGGGAACCAAAAACACUCCUGGAAAAGUUAAUGCAGGAACUUCACUGAAUCGACAGA